ensembl:lncRNA
AGACACAUUAAAAAAAAAAAAAAAAAAAAGGAAGACAUUUUUUGUCAAAAUGUUUUCAUAUGACAAAAAUGUUUAUGUCUAAGUUUCCUAAUGUUUCAGAUUUUGGUCUUGUAGCAAAUGAAAAUGAGGGGUGGAAUAAUAAUUUGCAUCUCAAUUAUCUCAUCCAAAUGUGCUCUGAUGCAAAAUAUUACAAGAGCAGGUUAGCACCAGUCUCACUUUGAUUUCACCAAUUCUGCAGUCUAGCAAUUGCAUCACCUUGGACCUAGAACGUCAGCAAAAGCCUAGAAAACACAAAAUGUCCUUAGUUUCAUUAGUUUCUUUAGUGGUUUUGAUAACUGCUGCAAAUCUAUGACAUGAAAUUAAUGGUUUUAUAUUAUGUUAUAAAUUUUUCCACACACCAGCCCUGCUGACUCCUCAGCAGUAAGUAGACUGUAUUACCCUUGUCUACCCUGUUCAGGCCAUCAUCUUCCUCCUUCUGACUUCCACAGUUCAGUCCAUAGGCCUUUUACUCACAUUAAGUAACAUAUUCUGAUCAGAUCUCUUUCAUUGUUCUCAGCUUGUACUCAGACUGCACAGGAGCUUAUGUAUGUAAAACACUUCAGCUUUUCCAAUAGUAUCAGGAUUUCCAGUAAGCAGUAACAUCCUCUAUCUCUGAAUCUGAAAUAAGUCGGUCUGGUUGAAGUUUCAUUUUCACACAAGGUUUAUUCAAACAGAUGGAUGCUGGCUUCUUAGAAAUAGAUCAGACCUUUACACCAGCAAAAAAAAUUCAUUGAGACAGAGAAAAUGAGAGAGUUUUGGCUGUAUUGUUGUUUGUUGUUGUUUUGUUUUUCACUAUCAAUUUUACUAAUCUAUAAUUUCUUCCUUAUAGCUUUGUUGUUCAUUUUGUUUUUUAAUAGACUAAGAUUUUCAAAUGUGCAAAAAGGAAACAAGACAGUUAAAUAACAGUGUUCCUUAUCUUUUCCAUUAUGUGCCAUCAUAUGGGAUUCCAGAGUGUAAUCCAGGGAAGGUCAGGGUAGAGGCAUACCACAGCUGGACAAGUAAUAUUUGAGGAGCAUCCUGGAGCGCUCAGUUAAAUUGAAGACUACAGUGAAAUCCCUCUUUUUCUCUGAUACCAGGCUCAAUCUUCCUGGUUCGUAAUCACUGAUUAUGAAGCCUUGCUGCAUCUCAAACUGGACUGAUUUUUGUGCCAAAUGCAUAAAUGAAAUGGGAGCUUUCAAAAGAGUGAAAGAGUAUCAACCACAGAUCAGCAAAACAAAAGAACAAAGAAACAACAACAAAAAAACCCAACAAACAUUACAUUCCCCUUUUCUCUAAAUUGAAACUCCUUUACAAAAGGUACACUGAAGGCCCUUGACAUUUGACCUCCACCCUGUUGGUCAACACUAAAACAUUUAGUUAUUAACCCAAAGCCUGGAGAUUUUUCAGGCCCCAGACUUUUUACUGAGCUGGCAGCACAGAGAUUAAUGAUUUGCACAGGCUCACCCCACGGUGCCUGGCAGCUGGGACACAGCCACCAUGGCCUUUACUUCCGACAGAGAUAAGGCCAGGGCUCUGGAAGACAACGAGAUGGGAGAGAGGGCAGACUCAAAAGGAGGCCAGCAUCCCUAGCUGCAAAUACAAAGGACAACCUAUCAUGAAAGCAAGACUGUGAAUUUAGCAUCCUUUCCAACUUUUCAAUUUUACAUGGUGCUAAAACAGUGACUUAACCUGAAAAAGUUCCAGAAUGGGAGAUGAUAUUUUAUGUUAAACCAUGGCUCAUCCCAAGUUGUAUUCAGCUGAAGUCCCCCAGGAGCAGGAUGAUGGUAUCUUCUAAACUUGGAAUGUGCAUCAAGCACUAAUGAGCCAUAAUAAUACAUAUUUUGCAUAUUUUCCUUGGAUUUAUUUCUUAUGCAUGCCUGUAUACUUUAAAAUAAGAUGCUGAUAUGAAAAAUGAAUCCACAUUGAAGGUUCAAGACAUCCAUAUUAUUCACAGCACCUCUGUGCUGCUAAACUUUUCAGAAGAUAUCAGAAAUGAGAGAUGCCUUCUUGGACAUAUCUGUGAUAAGCUAAUGUCUAGAUCUAAAGUACCAUCAAAUAAAUAGUAUUGGUCAGAUGUCUAAAAUUCCAGCAUAACAAUAUAUAUGUGAAGCAGCUGUGCAAUGUUUGAUGUUAGCUAUGUACCAAAUUUAAUUAGAUAUUUCUAUUUCUAGAGUAAAAUUGAUAUAGACUGAGCAACUGGGAAGGAUUCUUUGUCAGUUAGAGCCUGGCUCUGCUUCUCAGCACACAAAGCAAGAAAACCAUCUGUGAAGGGGCUCUGAAACAUGGGAUCUAGCCAAAGAACAGCAGCUGGAGAUCAGGAAAUUGCUUGCCAUGGAAUACAGAGGCAACACUUGAAGACAUAGCUUUAAGUCUCAAAAUGUAAGAUAAAUUUAAGAAAGUGAAGGUCCGGACCAAAAAAAAAAAAAAAAAAAAAAGCCUAAUUUUGCAGAGAUGGCAGACUAAGGUAUGACAUACUCCUACUCAAAACAACUGUACAUUCUUUGACUUCUUCCUUCCUGAUGGCCAAGAUAAGAUUUAUUUAACAACUACAAAAAUAUAUGAAGACUGCUGUGGUUUAUCUUUUGACAGUUCAGCUGAGAUGUUCUGGACUAGGUGGAUGAAAGUUGGUCCCUAACAUUCUACUCUAAGUUUUAAAUUUACUGGAUAACCACAAGAAAAAACAACAGGUUAAUUUCACAUGCUUCAGUACCUUAAGAGCUUUUCUGUCUAUCUAGAAAUAUUCCUUUAUUUGUUUGAUUUAUAUAUUUGCAAAGUUCUUCUCCUUCGUUAAUUACAAAAGGCAACAAAGAGUAAAAGGAGAAAUCUUAAAAUAUACCUAAAUAAGAAAAGAUACAUAUCUUGGAAAAUAAGUAUAUCAGAUCAUAACAAUUUACUGAUUUUUUUUUUUUUUAAUUUUUAAUCUGCAUAAUGUAAUGAAAUUAAAUCCUUUGCUUUUCUUGGCACAAGACCCAUUGGAAAAAAUCACGUUAUAUGUUGAAGUGUUCUUUUAUUUUUUUUACAAGAUAUGAAACGGGAAGGGUGGAGGGGGGAACAAAAUUUCUUCAGAGGGAAUAGCAGAGCUUAAAAACUAAAGCCAAACAAAAAAGAUUUCCAGACCAGCAACAUCCUCUGGCUGUUUGAUAAAAAGCCUGAACAGCUACACAAGGUCAAAAUAGCGUGGUAGGAAGGGAUUUACUUUUUCUGCACAUAAAAUUGGAUUUUUAAGUUCAAGGUCUAGAUUUCUUUCUUUUACAUCUGCAGUACCUCUGGCAAAGAAAACAACCUGUUCUCUUUCACAUUUUAUAUUUAUAUGACCAUGAACAUACUAUUACGUUUCAAUAAACUCGUGUUUACAAGCAGGUAGUAAAAUGUUGAGAAAAUCAUGCUAAUAACUGUACAGAUAUCAGGUUCUGUUUUAAAUCUUUAGUUAUUACAGCUUGCUGUGGAAACACAGCAGUUUAAGCACUGAGUAUUAAAGAGUUUGUGGAGUGCUAUAAAUUUCAGAUGCAUUUAUGUUAUAUGGUACUGUGCAAAUCAUAAUCUGAAAGUCAGUUUCAUUUGUGCAAUGUGUGCUUUAAUAGAAGAAAAACAGUUCAAGCAUGUGUGCUUUCCAUUUUUACAAGGAUCUUAAAAGAUUAUUUAAGUUGAAGGAAAAGCAGCUUCGAAUGAAAUUUGAGCUACUACCUGAAGAAAAGAUGGCAAGGAAUAACUGAAAUGAUAAAGCACUUAGUAAAAUUCUAACUUUCUCUGUUUUAUGAGCAAUUAAAAAUUUUCUCUAACAUUCCAUUGAGGGGCAGGGAAGACGACAAAAUUACCUUAUGAGCAAUUCUAUCAUGCAAAUCACUUAAUCUGAUUCCGUGUUAUGGUUUGAUUCCAGUCAGUUCUCAACUACUGAUUAUUUUGAUACAUAACUACAUUAACAAGCAGGACAGCUUUGUUCCUUGGGCUGCGUGGAAGUGGAGCAUCUUUCUUGGUUUGCCCACAAAUAAGGAAAAAACAGAAAGGGAAAAAAAAAAAAAAAGGAAAAGGAAAAAGUGCAAAUGGGAAAAGAAGCAAACGCAGCGUAACAGUGCAAAGCUGUAACAGUCCUGGAGGAAACUCUCCAGAGAAAACAAACAAGUGGGCAGUACAGAAUGAGGGAACGCAAAACACCCUCAGUCACAGAGAUUUGAGAAGACAUAUUCUAUUCUAUUCUAUUCUAUUCUAUUCUAUUCUAUUCUAUUCUAUUCUAUUCUAACCCCAACACAGGGUUCUGCUGACCUUAGGAGGCUGCAAAGCAUUAGCAGUUUGGGGGUGCCUGCCAUAGUUUAUAUUACUGUGUUGCUAAAGUUUACCAGAACUAAAUGCUGGCAAACAUAUCCAUCAUAACCGUACGCAAUGUUACUGUGAGCAAUUGCAGUUGUAUCUUGCAGUGCUCAUGUCAUUAAAAGACUGCUGCCAUAGGUACACAUUUACCUAAUCACAGUCACUUUCUUCCCAGGAUAAUGCCACUCUUGAGCAUCUUUUUGCAAAUUUCUACUUGUAUUGGAAGUUCUUCAGCUAGCAAUUUCAAGAAAAAAGAAACCUGUUUAUAUUCAUCAUCUUCAGUAAUUUGUAAAAGGACCUACUUUCACCUGGACCUUGAAUGUUGCCUUAGUUACAGAAGAUGGCCAAAAUAAGAGAAUCUAAAAUAAAAUAUAGGUUGGAAAACUUCAGAGGGAAGCUGAUUUAUUUCUUUUUAAAUAGUGUCUAUGUCUCUUAAAUAAGAAAGAAUAACACAGCACUCACAGUAGAGACCAGUCUUACUGUUAGGUCUGGAAUAGGACACAGAAAUAUUUAUUUUGUCCUGUACAAGACUUCUGGUGAUUGGGGAUUAAGAGAUAAAUUCUAUCCAAAUACACUGUAGAAGUUAAUACCCUCCCCACGUUCCUUGCCACAGCCUACCAUCAUCACAAGAGUCAGGAGAAACUGUUAGUAACAGAGAAUCUGAGCUAAGACAAUACACAUGUUGUCUCCUGCUAAUAUUGCUGGGAGGCAGCAAUCUCUUGAGAAAGAAUACAGAUCUGGGUUUUAAAACCUAAGCUACAAUAACAAGAGCUGCCGGUGGUUGUAAAUAGCAGCAAGUAAACAUAGUGAUUCAAGAGUCAUUCUGUACUAGUAAAUGAGUAUUAAAUACAUUAAAUACACUGUAUUAUAUGAAUAACUGUAUGUUAGUCUAAAUAUAUGGCAUUAAUUUAACAAAGGAUUAGUUCCCACGAGUAGAAAAGAAUGCAACACCUUCAGAUAACUACCUAUCUAGCAACACUUGAGAGGCAAUACAAGGAUUGACCUCUUGUUGAACUCACCAGCCCACGUCAAAGAGGAAAGUCAUAGAGAAAAUGGGAAGGACAAAGGAUCUGAAACUGUUUUAAAACUCUAAAAGCACUUACUCUUCAGAAAUUGCACUCAGAUAAAUAAGAUGCCUUAUUUUUUAUAAAGAAAUCAAAAUUCCUAGGUUCCAAGAAAAGGGGGAAAGACACAAGUAAAAUAAUUAUCAACAUAGUUAUUUCAUCUGUUAUAAGCUACACUUUGUGGACUGUGGUCCCGCUAUUAAACAGUACUUUGAAAAGCCCUCCUGAUCACCAUUUUUGUCACUGGUCACAAAGCAGCAGGAGUUUGAACUGAUCCAGGGAUUUCACAAAACAAAUUGUCAUGGGAAUUACAAGUGGAAUUGCAUUCCGCUUCAGAAUCGGAGAUAGCUCAGACCUGAUCCCUACUGAGGUGUGAUCAAAAAAAGCAACACAAGAAAAUAUAUCCCUGUAGUCAAAAUGACAAGUCAAUAAAUACUGUUUUGAUAGUGCAUUCUUGUUAGUACUACAACAGUUAAAAUUGCUUGUCAGAACAUCCUGCACUACACAUGGUAACAUUCCUCAUGUUUGCUUUAACCUGAAGACUAGGGCUGGUCAUGGUCUUCAUACUAGAGUUAUCAUUGUUCUGUGUAUUCUGGGAGAUACAUAGAGUAUCACAUUUUUCCAUAAUGUACUUGGUACGUUGCUCUUUGAAAAUCAUCUAGAAAGCAUAAAACUAUUCCUGUGUUCUCAAGCAAAUGUAUCACUCCAGCAAUAGUAAAUAACACAACACAUAGCUCAGGGAAUUCAAUUUCAAUUGGAUUCAAUCUCCUAAUUAUUUUGCAUAAUUUCUUGAUGUGAAACUUCAAUACAAGUAGUCAGGGACCUUAAAAUCUUUGUAGUAAGUAGCAGGGUUAUAAGUCUCAUGUGGUUAUUUCUAGUAUUCUUUGAGAAAGAAAGAAAGAAAGAAAGAAAGAAAGAAAGAAAGAAAGAAAGAAAGAAAGAAAGAAAGAAAGAAAGAAAGAAAGAAAGAAAGAAGAAAGAAAGAAAGAAAGAAGAAAGAAAGAAAGAAAGAAAGAAAGAAAGAAAGAAAGAAAGAAAGAAAGAAAGAAAGAAAGAAAGAAAGAAAGAAAGAAAGAAAGAAAGAAAGAAAGAAAGAAAGAAAGAAAGAAAGAAAGAAAGAAAGAAAGAAAGAAAGAAAGAAAGAAAGAAAGAAAGAAAUAUCACCAUGACAGGCGAGCUAAAGUAUUUGACAUAGCAUUAUAUCUGACCAAAAUCCAACCACAUUUCUAGCUACUGAUCAAGAAGAAAUUCUAUUCUCCUCUGCUUCACAGACAUAUAAUAUUUAUAAUAUAAUGAUAUAUAAUAGUCAUCAUCUAUUUUAGAUUGUUUUUAUAUGGGUAACAGAUAUUAGAAUGCAGCCACUACUUCAAUUCAAACUAAGUCAUGGUAUCUCUGCCUGCGGUAAAAUGCAACAUGCUUUAGGGUGCCAGGAGAGGAAUACCUAAAUUGAACAUUAGAUAUAACAGACUUUCAUAUCAUGUAAUUAAAAAUAUACUGUCAUUGUUUUUGGAGACGUUCUCCUGUUGGAUGCCUUUGUUUUAGAGUAUUUCUGGUAAUUAACACACUGUGACAGACCAUGGAAACUAGGCCAAAAUUUUUAAAAAAAUUCUCAUCCAGAGGCUUGGUGUUUAAAGUGGCUAGGCUUGACAACAAAAAGACUCCUUACCAGACUGCAGAUAAACAAGAGCAGACUUAGAAAUGCUUUUUUCUUUUCUCUCAUCCAGCAGUGAUCUAACUCCCAGCACUCAGUGCACAGUAGAAACUCACUUUCUCCUUUCCCAGGAGAGACUUUGUUUUUUCUCUUUGUUCAACACAUGAAAAAAAAUAAAAAAUCAGGAAGAAAUUUCUUUUAGUUCUAUUUCAGCUGUGGUUGGUCCAGUAGGAAAAUUAACCAACACGCUUGUAAAAGCUGUAAAAACUCCCCUGAUCAACAUAGGGAAGUUAGGCUGUAGUCAUGCCUAUACCUAGCAUCAUUUCUGCUUAUCCAACGAGAGCUUAAUGCAAGAGGCAGUAGAAUGCAACAGGAAACAGAUUGCCUGUUUUCUAUAAGAAUUUUCCUCCUGCUAGGACAGCACAUGAAGCCAUGCCCUUGGCCUAGAGUUUGUGUUCUUCUGCUGUGCUGCAGCCCCCUGAGCCACUAUGUAACCUCAGUGUAAGUCAUCAUUGUCCUUUUGCUUUUUUCAAGUGUAGUGAAUUUGGACAAUCAGAUACUCCUGACAAUACCCAGAACUCCUUCUUCUUCAAUCGUAACCUGAUCUGAGAAGUAUCAGAACAGUCUGGGAGUUCUGGAAGUGUAUGGUUGGGAGAAAAUUCCAGAAUUGCCUCACCUGAAAUAUGGCUAAAAUGCAAAGUUUUCUGACUAAAGUAAAUUAUCUCAAGGUCAAAUAAGGGUCCUAAGAAAAGAGCCCCUUACACUCUCAAAGCCCACAGUAGUCUAUGAUGUCUCCUUGAGCUGGGAUACCUCUGAGGGUAGGCUUUUUUUUGAGGUGCCUUUUGAAGUAGAAGAGUCCUUUAUAGGAUAAUAUCCCAUCAUCCACUGAGGGCCAGUGACGAGGGGGGAGAGUAGUUCACCAAAUGGGAGAAGUUCCUUGCAUGCAUGACUAAGUUUAGAAAUCUCCCCUUAGAAUAUCUUGUGUGUUAAGUUUCAGGUGAACCUUGCUAUUCUUAAAACUUUAAGUCACUGUAUUUGAUUGUAGUAAGCUCCAUUGAAUCAUUCUGUUAAAAUAGCUAUUGAUUGAGUUCUGAUUAAGUGCUACUAAGAAUCAUACAAUUCUAACCCUGUGUCAUGGUUUUAUGAUUUUUGAUUACUGGUAUUCCACAUCAUAACAUCACAUAGUGCACUGGGAGUUAAAGAGUUAAUGUUCCAGUUCCAGGUGCCUGUCUGGAAGAGAAGAACUACAUACCCCAGGGGGCUUUGCAGUCAGAGAGGAGAUAUAACCUCUGGCAAGGUCACCUGAUGGCCCUUUUUUUUCCUUAGUCUCUCCUCCCUGUUGCUCAUCCUGACCGCACACAUCACCUCAGCACAACUCAGGACUGCAUCUGCAGACUAUGCUGAAAUGCUGAUGUACAUGUCCCUGACUCAUCCCAUUUAAAAAUAAUACUGAGGGUUCUGGCAGAUGUCUUGUAGCAGCUUCCAGUGGUUAUUACAAUAUAAAGAAAAAGAAACAUUUUACAUCCCAGAUUCAUGAAUCCUUCUGAGGCAUGAUGUUUUAAAGCUGGGCUGGUAGACCUGAAGUCAUGAUGAUCAGCAAAGUACAGGAACUGAGAGUCUGUGUUGAAGAAAGCCAUUGGAUCAAGACUUUCAGAGAUUGAACUGUCUUCGUAUUUAAAAAAGUGUCCACCUUAAAGCCAAGAUUAAGGUCUCGGGCAGGGCCGGAUUCAAAGGAUUCAGUGGAUACAUAUCAUUCUGGGCUGGUUGUGUGUUACAGAUAAAAGUUUAUUUGCCAUGAAGACAGUAGAUUUUUCUGGGCAGAACACACAGCCAGAAAAGAUGAGCAGAUAUUGAAUUUCCUUAUUGGUUUUGUUAGUUAAAAAAGAAAAUUGGAUUGGUUACACCCAUAUGGUAUUUUGCAUAACGUAUUUAUAAUGUAAUUAUAUUUAUUAAUGAUAUAUGAAUAUUGCUAUUAAGGUCCAUAUUUACAGAUUAAAAAAAAUCUUCAUUAAGUUAUCUUUCAAAGAAAAUCCCCAUGAAUAAUCUCAAAGUCAAAAAUGUGCCCAUGGAAACAAGUGAGAUAUUAUUUCACCCUUGUAUUUCUUCUCAUCCAUAUAUACACCUUUUCAAACAACAUGUGUCAUGUCUGCACUCAGCAGUGACGCGGAAACCAGAGGCUAAAAGCUCUGGAAUAAGAAACAGCCUGUGUUAGCAAAUAGCCCUGAAACUAGUACAAAGGGAGAGUGCUCCCAAAUGCAAACUUCUGCAUCAGAAUUGUGUGCUGCACCAUUAAUGGCCCUGAUCAGCAUUAACUGUGGCUCUGCUCUAAGGUGUAAACCUCAAAUGGCAAGGCAAACAAUGCCCUGAAGACUUCAUAACACUGAGAGGUCAACUGGUCAGCACAGCAAUAAAGGACACAUAGUAAGUUACAAAUACAGAGCAGUGAAACGUGACUGUGUUUCUUUUCGUCAGUCCUUUCCUUUACCAGAGGCAUCUAAAGGUAAUGCAAAAGCAAUUGAAAACAAAAUAAUCAAGAGAUCACUCUGGCAAUCUUGAGGUAAGAUCACUGUUUCCAAUUAUUUUCCUCACAGUAAAACUGGGACAAGGAGAGAGGGUUUGCAUAGGCUUUAUUUACCAGACCUGCUGUUCAAUACAGUCCUGGUGGAAGGAAUUAUUGCUAGCAGAGCAUAUCACAGCCACCCAGCUAAGUACACCUAUGCUGCAAGUUCAGUACAGACCAAAUCAAGGACUGAAGAAGAGCCAAGCUACCUUUUCUGAUGAGCUGUAUUUUAUGCUCCUCAACUGCAAUCUACUAGCUCCACAGUCCAAAUUCCAGUAUGUACCAACAUUAUCUGCCAAGUGCUAGAAAAGUUUAGAACAGCUGAGGAAAAGCUCAAACAGUGAACAGCACUAGGUAUUAGUUACACAAGCCUGAUAUUCCUUCAUUGCUGAGCACCAAAAGAUCCCAGUUGUUGGCAGCCAGAGUUUUUUAUUUCUUUUCAUAGAAAAUGGUUGACAGUAAUUCUACCUACAGCUAAGCUGCUUCAGGAAUAAGUACCAAAAGGAGAUGAAUGGCACACAGACUUCGAGCUGGAAGCUGAGGUGAGCUAUAUAGAACAGAAAGAAGAUAUUGAAGGUCAUGCUCUAUGGUUAUCAGUACGCUUUCUGAAUAGCAACACAGAAAUAGAAAAAAUCAUUUGAAAUCAAGAUUUCUUUAAAACAGGAAAGAGGAACAGUGAGGCACUUUUAUAUCUUGGUAUCACUCUAAUAAAUUCUACUGCAACAUACAAAAAGAAACAUUAAGAUGCAAUUCUACUUUGAAUGUAUGCAUAUAAUUGGCUCAAAUAUUAUCCAUAGUAAAACCAAGAGGAAACACUGACAUUAGUAUGACCAAUAUUUCAUACAGCAUGUGCUAAAUAGGUAACAUACUCACUUGACCAAAUAUGUAUGUGAAUAUUGUAACAUCACGGUGAAUUCUUGCAUAUUAAUCUUAUAUUGUUGAAUCCUUGCAUAUUAAUCUUAUAUUGUUAUCCUUCUAGGUUUUUUGUUUGUUUGUUUGUUUGUUUUUGUGGGUUUUCCUUUUGUGUUUUUGUUAGUUUUCUGUUCUUUUUUUAUUAUUAUUAUUCUUAAGAUCAUGCCAUUUCUCAUUACCAGAAAUUUGAAUACUCUUAUGAUUUCGAUUAAAAUCUUCUUAGAAGAAAUAAAUAGGAUGCAGUAGGCUGAAGAACUAUAGAAACUAGUGUUCAUUAUUUUUCUUGCUUUGUAUUCUGAUAAGGUGAUUGAAUGACCCCAAAGCUGAAAUGCCAUAAUUGGUUGACAAAAAGAGGCAAUAAUUAAGGAGUAUCUACCUCCCAUUUACCCAGGAAGGGGACAAAGAAUAUAUUCUUUUCUCAUAUGCAACAUGUCAAUGUCAUAUAUUUCAAAUAUCAGUUGUAUCUCUUUCAUUAGUAUUUAUACCUUUUUACAGCACUGAAUUCACUAGAAACCUAGAUCCUUUUAUUACCGUACUGCAGCUCUUAAAGUCUUACUUUUAUAUAUGCUCAGGUCCUUCAACAUUAUUAUAUUUCUGUUGCCGUAUUCCUUCCAUCCAGUAGACACAGGUGCAGUGUUUUUAAUCAGUGUUUACCAUUGCAGCACCCGUAAAAAAACCACUAAUUAUGCAUAUAAAAAUAUCUGAUUAAGAAUUACAGAAAACUUGUCUUUUACAAAACGUAAUUUUGUGAGUGAGUGAUUAAAGUGAAGAUAUUAUUAGCUGUGUGAGAAAAUAUUUAUAUUUCUAUUUCAUGUGAGUAUUCUCAUCCUAUUGUAAUUUCCAAAUGAUAAGGCAUAGGACUUCCAUUGCUGCCAUUAAUGAUUUACCUGUUUUAAACUGAAAAACUAUGACUGCUUCAUUUGUUAGAUUACAUAGGUGCAACAUCUGUGGCCAGUCUGUCUGCAUAAAUGAAAUAUAUUUUCUGAUAUUAUGUCAUAUUUUGCCUUCAUAACUGAAGCUGAAUGAAAGACAGAAAACGGCCCCAAUGCCUCCAAGCUUUGGAGCAUACAAACAGAUUGAGAAGGGUAUCAUCUGCACGUGUUACUGCAGCAGCCUUCUCUUUGUUUUCAAACUCAACUCGGAUUCAUUCCAAAAUAUCCAAGUCCAAACCUAAUUUCUGGCACGACCUGCAGGAUCAAAUAUGUCUCCUUGGCAUUCACUUGCUAUGAGAAAGCCUCAAAAGGACAAUGAAUGACAGCCAAACUGAUUAUCAGUUUCAGUGACUGAAGGUCAGCAAGUGUAACAUCUGCCUUGCUGGUGCUUGCCUACAUAUUCAUGUGCAACUUUCUGCUCAUCCAGAGGUCACAAAAACUCACAGAAUGAACAAGAUCCCAGAGGAUACCUCUGUUUCCUUAGACACAGUGACAGAUUUUUCUCUUACAUUUGGGUAAGGGAAUUUUUGGUAAAUAUGACUGACAGAAGUAGCUGCAUGGGUCAAAAUCACCCCUUGGAUAUUUUUAAAAUUUGAUUAUACAAAGAUCAGGAAGAGAAGAAUGGCCAACAAGGCACAGGAAUAUUUAUUCUAUCCUUUACAGUAUAUGCUGACUCAUUAAGCUAAGGAAAAAGUGCUGAUAUUUUCACAGAACCUUUCCCAUUGAACAAAAACAAACAAAUGAAAAAAAAAUGCUGUCUCAUCAUGUAAUGUAAAUUAAUAUAACUCUGAUUAACUUUGAGUAUCUGUCCAUCAGUCUAUAUAAAAUCACGUCUUCAGAAUGUCAGCCAUGCAGUUGGGUGAGUAAUGUCCAAAAUAAAUCUGAAAUGCUAUUGAAAGUGCACUGUUUCUUCUCCCACGAUAUAGGGGAGUGAUCUUGUCAUACCAUGAACAACUUUAAAAAAUGCUCAUGAAGUGCAAAUUAUUUUUUUAAUCAAAUAUUACACUAUUUGGAUGAGUCCAGUGCUAAAUUUUAAAUCCUGAAAGGAUAACUAAGGGUUCAGAGAUAACAACAUCUACAGAGGUCAGAUUCAUUGCUCUGGAAAUCUGGAACCUUGGGAGUUGUAGGAAUAAAAUCAUAGAAAGAAGGAAAGAAAGAAGGAAGGAAGGAAGGAAGGAAGGAAGGAAGGAAGGAAGGAAGGAAGGAAGGAAGGAAGGAAGGAAGGAAGGAAGGAAGGAAGGAAGGAAGGAAGGAAGGAAGGAAGGAAGGAAGGAAGGAAGGAAGGAAGGAAGGAAGGAAGGAAGGAAGGAAGGAAGGAAGGAAGGAAGGAACAACAGAAUUAGAUAUUUUUGCACCUGACACCCAUUAGAUUUAUGUUUUGAUCAUUUUAGUUUCAAAAAAUAUUUUUUUGUUUGUUUGUUUGGAACAACAUUCUGGAAGUUAUCUAAAGAAUACUCCCUUUCAUAAACCAAAUAGAAAUAACUCAGUGCAUCUGCCUCCAAGUAACCUCAAGUAAAUCAGUUGUCAUGAUACAGGAAACCAGAUGUGAAUUCCAACAUCGUAGCAGUGGAGCUGAAGUGGCUGAGGUGGAACUGCUCUCUAAUGGGUACAUUUUCCAUCAUACAGUUGCAAAACCGUUGCAUACUUGCACAGACUCCUCAGCACCCUAACAGUGACAAAUAUCACCAAGAAAGGUGACCAUUGCAAAGAGCAAAAAAGACUACGGGUUUCUUACUACAUGUAUUCUAACAGUCUUCAUCUUCCUAGAUCUAUUGUUCUCAUUUUUGUUUUUGUUUUCCCAUGUUUUCUCAGUAUUUAUACUAAACAACAAAACUAAGAAAAAAUGUUGAUCAUCAACACAGGAUAUAAAUGUUUAAGACUCUUGAUGUUUAUUCUACAAGCACUGAGACUAAGUCACACUUGUUAACUAAAAUUGAAUGUUUAACAGCUAGAAAAACUUCAUAUUUCAAUUUGACAUUUUAAGUGAAACACAGAAGUACAUGUAAGUGCAAUUAGAGUGUUAUAAAAAAAAAAAAAAAACACCUGUGAAAGGCAGAAACAAAAGAAGGCAUUAGUGUGUAAAGUAAUUCUAGUAGGUAGGUUGGAAAAAUUAGUUUCAUAACGAUGACUUAAUUCAACAUGUGCCUGAGGCAACAGCAAAAAAGGUUAAAUUUCCUUUCUCAAUCAAAUUUUAUAUUCUUGCAGAAGAUGUUAUUUCAUAUUCUUGUGUUAUAUUAAUUAAACACAACAGAACCAGGAGAUAUCAAGACCCGCUAUUAGUACAAGCUGGGGAAUGUAUGGAUGGAGUACAGCCCCUCCGAAAAAGACUUGGGAGUACUGGUGAAAGGAAAACCAGACAUAAGCUAGCAACUUGCUCUUGAAGCCCGGUAUGCCAACUGUAUGCUGGGCUGCAUCAAAAGAAAUGUGGCCAGCAGGUCAAGGGAGGUCAUCCUGCCCCUCUGCUCUACACUGGUGAGACCUCACCUGGAGCUCUGAAUCUAGAUGUGGAGUCCUCAGUACAGGAGAGACACAGAUCUGUUGGAGCAGGUCCAGAGAAGGAUCACAAAAAUAAUCCAAGGGAUGGAACACCCCCACUAUGAGGAUAGGCUGAGAGAGCUGGGACCGUUCAGCCUGGAGAAGAGAAGGCUCCAGGGAGACCUGAUAGCAGCCUUUCAGUACCUAAACGAGAAUUAUAAGAAAGGAGACAGACUAUUUAGCAAGGACUGUUGUGGUAGGACAAGGGGAAAUAGUUUCAAAGUAAAAGAGGGAAGAUUUAAUUUGGACAUAAGGAAGAAAUUUUUUACAAUAAGGUUGGUGAGGCACUCGCACAGGUUGCCUAGAGAGGCAGUGGAUGCCCUUUUCCUGGAGACAUCCAAGGUUGGGCUGGACAGGGCUCUGAGUAAUCUGAUCAAGUUGUAGGUGUCCCUGUUCAUUGCAGGGGAGUUGGACUGGGUGGCCUUUUAUUGUCCCUUCCAGCUCAAAUGGUUCCGUGAUUCUAUGAUUCUAUGAGACACCAGCACAAGGUUAUAUCUCCAUCUGCUGUAGACAGACCACGAAACUCAUUGCAAGAGAUAUUCAUUCCAUAAAAUCAGAGUAUGCAAAACAGAAUUUCUUUUCUUUCUUACCUCAGAUAAUUUCACUCAUAUACUGUACAUCUUCCAAAUGCUCUGACUGAUUUAAACUAUGAACUUAAUACAUUAAACACAGGUGUAGCUCUCCAUUCACAAUGUCCUUGCCACCAUCUGUGUUUUAAGAAAAUUUUAAUUCCAGGCGAAAACAUUUUUGUUCUUCAUUCACAGUAAAUUACUGUAUGAAUAGCAUGAGGGGUGUAUUCCUUUAACCCUUAUCCUUCAAAUAAAUUGAGUAGUUUUUAUUAAUUAUUAAAUACUAUUUGUUAUUAAUGAACAUUCUCUUGUCAUUGUCCUGGACUACACAGUGUUUAUUAGAGGAAAAAAAACCAAACAAACAAAAAAGAAGAACAAAAAAACCAAAACCAAAAACAAACCAACAACCGUCCCCCUCCCCCCCCCCCCCCCAAAAAAAAAACCUACCAUGAUUAACAUGGAUUUAUUUAUUAGGAUAAAUGGAUUUGUUUAUUAGGAUAAAUUCUAAUUAGACCUUAGAUGGCGUGUUCCACUGUUGUAACUGCAUAUAUAAACACAGCAUAAGAGAAAGACAUGUAACAUAAAUAAACUGAAGAAAACAAUUGCCAAGGAAAUUACCAAGUCUCAUUUGAGCACGCUUUUUGUUCUUAUCUAGCCAGAGCCUUGUUCACAUGCUUAACCUGAAACAUUUCAGAGGAACUAGAGAGGUAAAUGGAAAUACACACUUACAUGCUAACAACUCAUGACAGAUGUAGGAUAUGAUGCGAGACUGUGUCUUUGUAUCAGAGGAAUGUAUGUUGUGUCCUCUUCAGAUCUGACUGAAAACUAAUUGAUUUAGUUCUCAGGUUCAUUUCACUGAAUAACAUUUUCAGAAAUAUUGUCUAAUUUUGAUCUUAAGUUAACGUGUGUGAUGAAACACUUCUACUUUGAGCUAAAUAAUGUAUAAGAAAAAGUGACUCUAUGCUAAGUUUCCUAUUAAAUCUAGAAGUCUCUAGUUGAGUCAUUUAUGUGCAGUUCGUGAGGUCAAACAAUUUACUUUCUUAUGGUUAAUUAUAACUUUUGAGGGAAACUAAAAGGCCUUCAUAUUGUGUUUCUGCAAAUAAUUACCAUUAAUGUGAUUAAAUUCAUGUUUAAUACUUAUCUAAAUUAGCUCAUUAGCUUGUAUGGAUGUUUGAAAACCUCCAAAGACUGAAAAAUAUUCAGCUUUCAUUACAUUCUUGAUACUGAUCUCUCAGACUGUGGAUAUCAUAUUCAUUACUCUCUGUAUACAUAGUACUAUAUGGAAUAUCACUUGUUUCAUAGCAAUUAUUAUGCAAAUCCCAAGAUCUACUUGCUUGACACUCCCCAGUGACAAUGAAAUCUUGUUUGGCUUAAAUAAUCAUUUGGGAGCCAUUUACACUGUGACUGACUAUUACAGGUUGUAUAUAGUGGGAACUGUAUUUUCUUACAUUAGAAAGUAAUAUGAAAAAGAAAACAUCAACAGAACAAUAUUUCUGUUUCCCUGCGACUAAAAUACUGGUGCCUAGGUCCUUUUUUUCCUGGAGUUUAAGUUACUAGAUUAAAAGAAAAAAAGAAAAAGCAAUGCCAGAUUGGUCUCUAUUACUCUUGUUAAUGCUACCUAUAUUUCUUGUACUGGGAAGCUUUUCAUGGACUGAUUUCAAUUAUGCUACUCAAAGAGGUAAGCACUUCUCAUAAGAAGUACAUAGCUUUGUUCUUGUUAUCAUUCCUCUUCGCUAAAGAAAGUAGAAGAAAACAGUAAAUGAGAAAUCUUUCGAAGUAUUUUAAUUGAUAAAGCAACUUAUGUCUUACAGAAAACAGUAAAUGCAUAUUUAUACAUUGUUAUAUCAUUUAACUUUUUACAAAGAUGCAUAAAUAUAUACCUAUAUAACAUUACAAUGAUUGAAGAGAUGGAAAACAUUUUCUCUCAAUGCAACAACAUAGUUUUUUUAUUAACUAGAACUCUGAAUAAAAUCUGAUUUUUAUAAUCAGUAGGACCAAAAUCUCAGUUGUCUAUGAGAUUCAUCAUUAAUCCUGAUUUCUUUGGAGCAGUUAGAAUUUUAUUUUAUGUUCAGCUUUUGUAACUCCAUUUCCUGGAAUAUUGAGUACUAUUAAAAAAAAAAAAAAAAAAGUAAAACCUUAAAAUUAUAAGACUUCCUGGCAUUCAUUGAAACCACAAAUUGAGAUUCAAUUAAGUAAAUUCCUGCUGACAAAGCAUCACAACAGGUUAAUAGAGGAAAGCUUUUUGCUCUUACUUCUCCAUAGUCUCAAGAACAUUAACUCCAUUAAUUGUGCUAGAUUAAAACAUACCUGUAAAAAAUAUUCACCAUUCAGAACUGCUGACAUGUUAGUUUAUUAGAUAAGCCUGCAAACUUUUAGCUACAUAUUGUAUGCUCAUUCUCCUCACUAUUUCUAAGAAACAUUUAUUUCAUAAACAAAUUUACUAACUAGUAGACACAUUCUUAUAGUGAAAAGAAUAGUUAAAUCACUUCCUCUCUGCUACCAUUUGCUUCCAAAUUCCAAAAUAUUUUCUUCAGCAUAGAUAUUGUAGGUUGUAUUUUUAUUUAGUAGUGAAUCAUUUCCGACCUUAAAUAAUUAAAAAAGAAAAACAACAACAAAAAAAAAAACACAUGCACACAAAACAAGCAAACAAAAAAACCCAACCCACAACCAUAGUUAAACAAAACAGAUUCUGUGAUCUGGCACUCAUUAUCCUUCCAACCAUUGUAAUUCAAACAUCAUCCAUAUAAACAUAAAAAAAAAUCAACCAGUAUAUUAAUCAUCCAUCUGAAGCAAGCAAUUUGUCUUCCAUAUCUGUAAAUCUCAAAGCCAGGAUCUCUCCCCACUUUUGAUAAACCUUUCUGAAGUGGUCAGUAAAACCAAAGGUGUGUCGCCAGCACUUGACCUAAUUGAGUGGCUCCCCUCUGGCAAUCAGGAACACUCUCUUCUGCUGCUUUGAAAUGCCUCAAUUUAGAUGCAGGGGUUACUUCACGUGUUAGUGGAAUUCAUAGAACCAUAGAAUCACUCUCCACACAAUCCACAGGUUGGAAAAGACAUUAAAGACAAAUCCAACCAUGACCACCCCAUUCUACUCUAACAAACCUCUGCAAAAUCAUGUCUCUGAGCACCACAUCCAAAGAGUUUUUAAACACAUACAGGGAUGGUGACUCUACCACUUCCCUGGGGAGCCUAUUCCAAUGCUUAACAAGCCUUUCUGUAAAGAAGUUUUUCCUAAUAUCCAGCCUAAACUUAUCCUAGUGCAACUUAAGGCCAUUUCCCCUCAUCCUGUCACCUGUCAACAGUGAGAAGUGGCCAACCCUGCUCUCGCUGUAAACACCUUUCAGAUAUUGGAAGAGAGGAAUUAAGUCUCCCCUCAGCCUCCUCUUCCCCAGACUAAACAGCCCCAGUUCCUUCACUCGCUCCUCAUAGGGCACACAAGAAGAUUUAAAAAAAAAAAAUCAAUUUAGUUGAUUUUUUAUUCACACCAAUAAUUUCUUUUUCCCUCCUUUCAAUAUACAUUUUUAUAAAAUGUAAAGGCUAGAAUCUUCUGGUACUUCCCUGAAAAGGAAAAUUUCUAAUCUCAGAAGAAUGUUCCCAAGUAUUAUACCAUUCAUGGGACCCAAGUCUUUCCCUGAGAAUGGAGUCUAUCUGUAUUUUAUUUCGAGGUUUAAUUUUCAUUGUAGGCAGCUAGGCUAUGAUUUUUGCUUCCCCUCUUUUUGCUAUCUGUACAAUCAUGUGUAAAUUAGAAAUACUGCCGAUAUGUUAUUCUUCAAAUAAAUUAUUCCAAGCCAUUCCAUUUGUAUGGUUAUGUAGCCAGGAAAAUGCAUAAAUAAAAGUAAUGUAUUCCAUAAAGUCUAUAAAAUAUAUUGCUCUGACUCAGGGCUGCAGUUAUUUUUGGAUGCAAACAGAAAGACCUGUGUUUCACCCACACAUUGGUCAUGUUUCAUAAUGGCAAGCAAAAGCAUUAUAACACCACAACCCAAGCUCCAGGUGGGAGCCUUCCUCUGCCCUUACCUCCAACCAUAAGGCAUGUGUCCCCUGUGAUUCUCCUGCUGCAGGGGAUCCUGCAGCUCCCUGAGGUUGCCACCUGCUGUGGCUCAACAGGCUACAGACCAGAGUUUCCCACUGUCUCACUCCUUCAGCAUUUUUGCAAGAAGUAGCCUAAUCUUGAUCAUUUCUUGCCUAGAAUCCACUUGUGCCCUCACAUCUAAAUGCACCACACUGGCAAGACUCUGGGAAAGCAGAUUAUACGUUUAUUAGUGCAACACAAUUGAGGUUUCUGCUUCCUAGCCCUGUUUUUAAUCCAGCCCCAAAUCUUACUUCUCAAUCUAGAUCUCCCCAUCAUCUUCU